rnacentral:rRNA from 1 species
UACGUAGGGUGCAAGCGUUGUCCGGAUUUAUUGGGUUUAAAGGGUGCGUAGGUGGUUUUGUAAGUCAGUGGUGAAAGCCCGGAGCUCAACUCCGGAACUGCCAUUGAUACUGCUUAACUUGAAUCAAGUAGAGGUGGAUGGAAUAUUACAUGUAGCGGUGAAAUGCUUAGAGAUGUAAUAGAACACCGAUUGCGAAGGCAGUUCACUAUGCUUGUAUUGACACUGAGGCACGAAAGCGUGGGGAUCAAACAGG